GAUGAACGCUGGCGGCGUGCCUAAUACAUGCAAGUCGAGCGAACAGACGAGGAGCUUGCUCCUCUGACGUUAGCGGCGGACGGGUGAGUAACACGUGGAUAACCUACCUAUAAGACUGGGAUAACUUCGGGAAACCGGAGCUAAUACCGGAUAAUAUAUUGAACCGCAUGGUUCAAUAGUGAAAGACGGUUUUGCUGUCACUUAUAGAUGGAUCCGCGCCGCAUUAGCUAGUUGGUAAGGUCACGGCUUACCAAGGCGACGAUGCGUAGCCGACCUGAGAGGGGGAUCGGCCACACUGGAACUGAGACACGGUCCAGAAUCCUACGGGAGGCAGCAGUAGGGAAUCUUCCGCAAUGGGCGAAAGCCUGACGGAGCAACGCCGCGGAAGUGAUGAAGGUCUUCGGACCGUAAAACUCUGUUCGUAGGGAAGACCAAAUGUGUAAGUAACUAUGCACGCCUCGACGGUACCUAAUCAGAAAGCCACGGCUAACUACG
rnacentral:rRNA from 1 species